CACUAGCAAGAUUUCACAGAUGUUGCAUGACAUUCUAAAUGUUUGAUCUUCAGUGUACGUGUGUGAGGAGAACUGUUCUUCAGGACAUGAAAUGAGGAAUUGGGUGAGCCAGACAUCACUGACACAAACGCCUCUCCAGCUGAUUUUGUUAUCAUGGAC